CAAGAGAACCUACCCUAAGUCCACAAGACGCCAGGAUGGUCAUCGUGGGGUUUUAGUCGGUAAGAGUCCGACACUACCCGGACGCGUCUGGUGGCGCCCGGGUGUCCAUGAGGAUUUCCCCACGUAUAAAAAAAAAAAAAAAAAAAGGUUGGGGUUAGGUUGGGGUUAGGUUGGGGUUAGGUUGUCAACGUCCGUUGGCUGGGGUGAAACACUCGUUCCCGUUAGAUCACGAAAGUUAAGCACCCCAGGUUGCGGGGCGGUCUGGGAUGGGUGACCGCUCCGUGAUGACG
rnacentral:misc_RNA from 1 species